CCUACGGGUGGCAGCAGUGAGGAAUAUUGGUCAAUGGACGAGAGUCUGAACCAGCCAAGUCGCGUGAAGGAUGACUGCCCUAUGGGUUGUAAACUUCUUUUAUAAAGGAAUAAAACGAGGCACGUGUGCCUUUUUGCAUGUACUUUAUGAAUAAGGAUCGGCUAACUCCGUGCCAGCAGCCGCGGUAAUACGGAGGAUCCGAGCGUUAUCCGGAUUUAUUGGGUUUAAAGGGAGCGUAGGUGGGUUGUUAAGUCAGUUGUGAAAGUUUGCGGCUCAACCGUAGAAGUGCCAUUGAGACUGGCAGACUUGAGUACAGUAGAGGUAGGCGGAAUUCGUGGUGUAGCGGUGAAAUGCUUAGAUAUCACGAAGAACCCCGAUUGCGAAGGCAGCGUACUAAACUGAGACUGACGUUGAUGCUCGAAAGUGUGGGGAUCAAACAGGAUUAGAUACCCCUGUAGUC
rnacentral:rRNA from 1 species